rnacentral:piRNA from 1 species
UGGGCAAUUUGGCUUUUGACCUAGAUGAG